CCCUUAGAUGUUCUGGGCCGCACGCGCGCUACACUGAUUCAUGCAACAAGUUUUGUCCUUGGCUGAUAGGUCUGGGUAAUCUUUGAACGUGAAUCGUGAUGGGGAUAGAUGAUUGCAAUUAUUCAUCUUCAACGAGGAAUUCCUAGUAAACGCAAGUCAUCAGCUUGCAUUGAUUACGUCCCUGCCCUUUGUACACACCGCCCGUCGCACCUACCGAUUGAAUGGUCCGGUGAAAUCUUCGGAUCUGAGAGAUGUCUGAUUAAUUUCGGACGCCUUUUGGAAAAGUUGCUUAAACCUUACCAUUUAGAGGAAGGUGAAGUCGUAACA
rnacentral:rRNA from 1 species